UACGUAGGUGGCGAGCGUUGUCCGGAUUUAUUGGGCGUAAAGGGCGCGCAGGCGGCCUGUUAAGUCUGGUGUGAAAGCUCCCGGCUCACCCGGGAGAGGGCGCUGGAGACUGGCAGGCUGGAGGGAGGCAGAGGCCGGUGGAAUUCCCGGUGUAGCGGUGAAAUGCGCAGAUAUCAGGAGGAACACCAAUGGCGAAGGCAGCUCGCUGGAACGGUACUGACGCUGAGACGCGAAAGCGUGGGGAGCGAACAGG
rnacentral:rRNA from 1 species